rnacentral:rRNA from 1 species
GCCUAGCCGUAAACUUUUAAUUACAUCCGAACCACCUGGGAACUACGAGCCAAGCUUAAAACCCAAAGGACUUGACGGUACCCCACAUCCCCCUAGAGGAGCCUGUCCUAUAAUCGAUAAUCCACGUUUAACCUCACCAUUUUUAGUUAAUCAGCCUGUAUACCUCCGUCGUCAGCUUACCACGUGAGCGUUAGUUAGUAAGCCCAAUGUAUUUCACCAAAACGUCAGGUCAAGGUGCAGUAGAUGAAAUGGAAAGAGAUGGGCUACACUUUCUACUUUAGAAGAAACGAAAAACUACCUAUGAAAUCUAGUUAGAAGGCGGAUUUAGUAGUAAAAAGGAAUCAGCAUAUCCAUUUUAACCCGGCACUGGGGUGUGU